rnacentral:rRNA from 1 species
GACGGAGGAGGCUAGCGUUGUUCGGAAUUACUGGGCGUAAAGCGCGCGCGGGCGGUUUGGCAAGUCAGGGGUGAAAGCCCGGGGCUCAACCUCGGAACGGCCUUUGAGACUGCCAGACUUGAGACCGGAAGAGGAGAGUGGAAUUCCCAGUGUAGAGGUGAAAUUCGUAGAUAUCGGGAGGAACACCUGUGGCGAAGGCGGCCAUCUGGACGUUCACUGACGCUGAGACGCGAAAGCGUGGGUAGCAAACAGG